AGUGAACGCUGGCGGUAGGCCUAACACAUGCAAGUCGAACGGCAGCACAGGAGAGCUUGCUCUCUGGGUGGUGAGUGGCGGACGGGUGAGGAAUACAUCGGAAUCUACCUUUUCGUGGGGGAUAACGUAGGGAAACUUACGCUAAUACCGCAUAGGACCUACAGGUGAAAGUGGGGGACCGCAAGGCCUCACGCGAUUAGAUGAGCCGAUGUCCGAUUAGCUAGUUGGCGGGGUAAUGGCCCACCAAGGCGACGAUCGGUAGCUGGUCUGAGAGGAUGAUCAGCCACACUGGGACUGAGACACGGUCCAGACUCCUACGGGAGGCAGCAGUGGGGAAUAUUGGACAAUGGGCGCAAGCCUGAUCCAGCCAUACCGCGUGGGUGAAGAAGGCCUUCGGGUUGUAAAGCCCUUUUGUUGGGAAAGAAAUCCUGUCGAUUAAUACUCGGUGGGGAUGACGGUACCCAAAGAAUAAGCACCGGCUAACUUCGUGCCAGCCGCCGCAGUAACAC
rnacentral:rRNA from 1 species